rnacentral:tRNA from 1 species
UUUAACCUAGUUUAAUUUAAAAUAAAGGCUUGUCAAGCCUUAGAUGCACUGGGGUUGUGCGGUUGAAA